rnacentral:tRNA from 1 species
GCAGCCGUGGCCUACUGGUUAGUGCUUCAGACUUGGAAUCAGAGGGUUGCCUGUUCGAACCAUGACCAGUAGGA